UACGUAGGGGGCAAGCGUUGUCCGGAUUUAUUGGGCGUAAAGAGCGUGUAGGCGGCUUGGCAAGUCCGCUGUGAAAACUCGAGGCUUAACCUCGAGACGUCGGUGGAAACUGCUUGGCUAGAGUCCGGAAGAGGAGAGUGGAAUCCUGGUGUAGCGGUGAAAUGCGCAGAUAUCAGGAAGAACACCCGUGGCUAAGGCGGCUCUCUAGUACGGUACUGACGCUGAGACGCGAAAGCGUGGGGAGCGAACAGG
rnacentral:rRNA from 1 species